GGGUUGUGAGGUUAAGCGACUAAGCGUACACGGUGGAUGCCCUGGCAGUCAGAGGCGAUGAAGGGCGUGCUAAUCUGCGAUAAGCGCCGGUAAGGUGAUAUGAACCGUUAUAACCGGCGAUACCCGAAUGGGGAAACCCAGUGUGACUCGUCACACUAUCAUUAACUGAAUCCAUAGGUUAAUGAGGCGAACCGGGGGAACUGAAACAUCUAAGUACCCCGAGGAAAAGAAAUCAACCGAGAUUCCCCCAGUAGCGGCGAGCGAACGGGGAGGAGCCCAGAGCCUGAAUCAGCAUGUGUGUUAGUGGAAGCGUCUGGAAAGGCGCGCGAUACAGGGUGACAGCCCCGUACACAAAAGCGCAUGUGGUGACUGCGUACCUUUUGUAUAAUGGGUCAGCGACUUAUAUUCUGUAGCAAGGUUAACCGAAUAGGGGAGCCGGAGGGAAACCGAGUCUUAACUGGGCGUUAAGUUGCAGGGUAUAGACCCGAAACCCGGUGAUCUAGCCAUGGGCAGGUUGAAGGUUGGGUAACACUAACUGGAGGACCGAACCGACUAAUGUUGAAAAAUUAGCGGAUGACCUGUGGCUGGGGGUGAAAGGCCAAUCAAACCGGGAGAUAGCUGGUUCUCCCCGAAAGCUAUUUAGGUAGCGCCUCGUGAAUUCAUCUCCGGGGGUAGAGCACUGUUUCGGCUAGGGGGCCAUCCCGGCUUACCAACCCGAUGCAAACUGCGAAUACCGGAGAAUGUUAUCACGGGAGACACACGGCGGGUGCUAACGUCCGUCGUGAAGAGGGAAACAACCCAGACCGCCAGCUAAGGUCCCAAAGUCAUGGUUAAGUGGGAAACGAUGUGGGAAGGCCCAGACAGCCAGGAUGUUGGCUUAGAAGCAGCCAUCAUUUAAAGAAAGCGUAAUAGCUCACUGGUCGAGUCGGCCUGCGCGGAAGAUGUAACGGGGCUAAACCAUGCACCGAAGCUGCGGCAGCGACACUGUGUGUUGUUGGGUAGGGGAGCGUUCUGUAAGCCUGUGAAGGUGGCCUGUGAGGGUUGCUGGAGGUAUCAGAAGUGCGAAUGCUGACAUAAGUAACGAUAAAGCGGGUGAAAAGCCCGCUCGCCGGAAGACCAAGGGUUCCUGUCCAACGUUAAUCGGGGCAGGGUGAGUCGACCCCUAAGGCGAGGCCGAAAGGCGUAGUCGAUGGGAAACGGGUUAAUAUUCCCGUACUUGGUGUUACUGCGAAGGGGGGACGGAGAAGGCUAUGUUGGCCGGGCGACGGUUGUCCCGGUUUAAGCGUGUAGGUGUGUGUUCCAGGUAAAUCCGGUUCACUUUAACACUGAGGCGUGACGACGAGGCACUACGGUGCUGAAGCAACAAAUGCCCUGCUUCCAGGAAAAGCCUCUAAGCAUCAGGUAACAUCAAAUCGUACCCCAAACCGACACAGGUGGUCAGGUAGAGAAUACCAAGGCGCUUGAGAGAACUCGGGUGAAGGAACUAGGCAAAAUGGUGCCGUAACUUCGGGAGAAGGCACGCUGACACGUAGGUGAAGUGAUUUACUCAUGGAGCUGAAGUCAGUCGAAGAUACCAGCUGGCUGCAACUGUUUAUUAAAAACACAGCACUGUGCAAACACGAAAGUGGACGUAUACGGUGUGACGCCUGCCCGGUGCCGGAAGGUUAAUUGAUGGGGUCAGCGCAAGCGAAGCUCCUGAUCGAAGCCCCGGUAAACGGCGGCCGUAACUAUAACGGUCCUAAGGUAGCGAAAUUCCUUGUCGGGUAAGUUCCGACCUGCACGAAUGGCGUAAUGAUGGCCAGGCUGUCUCCACCCGAGACUCAGUGAAAUUGAACUCGCUGUGAAGAUGCAGUGUACCCGCGGCAAGACGGAAAGACCCCGUGAACCUUUACUAUAGCUUGACACUGAACAUUGAGCCUUGAUGUGUAGGAUAGGUGGGAGGCUUUGAAGUGUGGACGCCAGUCUGCAUGGAGCCGACCUUGAAAUACCACCCUUUAAUGUUUGAUGUUCUAACGUGGACCCGUUACCCGGGUUGCGGACAGUGUCUGGUGGGUAGUUUGACUGGGGCGGUCUCCUCCUAAAGAGUAACGGAGGAGCACGAAGGUUGGCUAAUCCUGGUCGGACAUCAGGAGGUUAGUGCAAUGGCAUAAGCCAGCUUGACUGCGAGCGUGACGGCGCGAGCAGGUGCGAAAGCAGGUCAUAGUGAUCCGGUGGUUCUGAAUGGAAGGGCCAUCGCUCAACGGAUAAAAGGUACUCCGGGGAUAACAGGCUGAUACCGCCCAAGAGUUCAUAUCGACGGCGGUGUUUGGCACCUCGAUGUCGGCUCAUCACAUCCUGGGGCUGAAGUAGGUCCCAAGGGUAUGGCUGUUCGCCAUUUAAAGUGGUACGCGAGCUGGGUUUAGAACGUCGUGAGACAGUUCGGUCCCUAUCUGCCGUGGGCGCUGGAGAACUGAGGGGGGCUGCUCCUAGUACGAGAGGACCGGAGUGGACGCAUCACUGGUGUUCGGGUUGUCAUGCCAAUGGCACUGCCCGGUAGCUAAAUGCGGAAGAGAUAAGUGCUGAAAGCAUCUAAGCACGAAACUUGCCCCGAGAUGAGUUCUCCCUGAGACUUAGAGUCUCCUGAAGGAACGUUGAAGACGACGACGUUGAUAGGCCGGGUGUGUAAGCGCAGCGAUGCGUUGAGCUAACCGGUACUAAUGAACCGUGAGGCUUAACCUUACAACGCCGAAG
rnacentral:rRNA from 1 species